CCAAUAGCGUAUAUUAAAGUUGUUGCAGUUAAAAAGCUCGUAGUUGAAUUUCGGGAUUGACGUGAUGGUCGUGCCUUACGGGGUAUGAACUGUUGCUGUUGAUUUCUCACCUUCUGGAGAAACUUGAUGUCCUUAAUUGGGUGUCUUGCGGAUCCAGGACCUUUACCUUGAAAAAAUUAGAGUGUUUAAAGCAGGCAUUUUGCUCGAAUACAUUAGCAUGGAAUAAUAGAAUAGGACGGCAUGGUUCUAUUUUGUUGGUUUCUAGGAUCACCGUAAUGAUUAAUAGGGAUAGUUGGGGGCAUUAGUAUUCAAUUGUCAGAGGUGAAAUUCUUGGAUUUAUUGAAGACUAACUACUGCGAAAGCAUUUGCCAAGGAUGUUUUCAUUAAUCAAGAACGAAAGUUAGGGGAUCGAAGACGAUCAGAUACCGUCGUAGUCUUAACCAUAAACUAUGCCGACUAGGAAUCAGACGAUGUUAAUUUUUUAAUGACUCGUUUGGCACCUUACA
rnacentral:rRNA from 1 species